rnacentral:rRNA from 1 species
AUUGAACGCUGGCGGCAGGCUUAACACAUGCAAGUCGAGCGGGGUGAUGGUGCUUGCACUAUCACUUAGCGGCGGACGGGUGAGUAAUGCUUAGGAAUCUGCCUAUUAGUGGGGGACAACAUCUCGAAAGGGAUGCUAAUACCGCAUACGUCCUACGGGAGAAAGCAGGGGAUCACUUGUGACCUUGCGCUAAUAGAUGAGCCUAAGUCGGAUUAGCUAGUUGGUGGGGUAAAGGCCUACCAAGGCGACGAUCUGUAGCGGGUGUGAGAGGAUGAUCCGCCACACUGGGACUGAGGCACGGCCCAGACUCCUACGGGGGGCAGCAGUGGGGAAUAUUGGACAAUGGGGGGAACCCUGAUCCAGCCAUGCCGCGUGUGUGAAGAAGGCCUUAUGGUUGUAAAGCACUUUAAGCGAGGAGGAGGCUCUUUUGGUUAAUACCCAAGAUGAGUGGACGUUACUCGCAGAAUAAGCACCGGCUAACUCUGUGCCAGCCGCCGCCGUAA